UACGUAGGGGGCAAGCGUUGUCCGGAAUCAUUGGGCGUAAAGAGCGUGUAGGCGGCUCGGUAAGUCCGCUGUGAAAGUCCAGGGCUCAACCCUGGAAUGCCGGUGGAAACUGUCGAGCUAGAGUCCGGAAGAGGCGAGUGGAAUUCCUGGUGUAGCGGUGAAAUGCGCAGAUAUCAGGAGGAACACCAAUGGCGAAGGCAGCUCGCUGGGACGGUACUGACGCUGAGACGCGAAAGCGUGGGGAGGCAAACAGG
rnacentral:rRNA from 1 species